GACAGGGGAUACAAGCGUUACUCGGAAUCACUGGGCGUAAAGCGUCUGUAGGCUUUUUGGAAAGUCUGAGGUCAAAUGUCAGGGCUCAACCCCGUCAACGUCUUAGAAACUUCCAAAAUUGAGCAAUGGAGAGGUACCUGGAAUGCCAUGUGUAGGAGUAAAAUCCGUAGAUAUAUGGUAGAACGCCAAAAGUGAAGACAGGGUACUAGCCAUUCGCUGACGCUGAGAGACGAAAGCGUGGGGAGCAAAGGGG
rnacentral:rRNA from 1 species